ensembl:lncRNA
CCUGGUUGAAAACGUCUGUCACGGUAACAGCAGCCUCCUCAAGGCUGCAUUGCUCUCACAGUGAAGAUUCUGCACUGAAAUUUGAUGGUAAAAACGACGGCGACUUUAGGCCAUGUAAGUGCCUUUUGGUCUCUGCUGAGCUGUUGACAGAAGGAACCGACCUGAGAGCCAACGGCAUUUGCCCUCCUUCCAGAGAUGGCGACACUCGCCCCCUCUCGGGAUCCAGGCAGGACAGUUCACACGAGGGCACUUUUCAGAGACUAGUGACUCUCGCAGGAGAAGUCAUCUCACACCCAAUUUUCAGUUAGUCAGACAAUGAUGCAAAACAGAUUUUAAGGAAAAACUGCAGAAAAAUCACCCACGUUGCUCUUACAGGAUGGUGUCAGUUAAGAGCUGGAGCUUUGGGAUCAGGCGGAUCCUUCUUCACAUCCUGGCUGCACCGUGUACCUGCCAUGUGACCCUGGGGAGGUCACUUACCUGAGAGGCCCCUCAACCCUUCCGAACCCGUCCGCCCAGCUCAAGGGUUGCCACGAAGUCUCAGAGUCAAAUAGAUCAGGACUCGCUUCUCCGAGUGUGGGCUGCAGACCAGCAGCGGCUUCCUCACCUGGAAGCGACCUAAAAACGCGGGAUUUCAGGUCCCAUCCAAGUCCGAAUGAAUGGAACCUAAAGUCUAGCGAGGCCCAGGCGGCUGUGGGCGCAGCAGAGUGAGGAGCUGCUCAGAGCUGCGCAGGCGCGGGCGCGGCAGGGGCCCAGGUCAGCCUGGAGCUUGAUCCGGUUCUCUCUGUCCUAGACUUAUUUCCCACUUAGAGCCUGUUUUCAUGCUGCUGGAGCUUCCUGUUGGCCGACUGCACUUCACAGUUUGCAUGAGGUCCACUGAGUGGUGGGCCCGUGCCCCUUCCCCUGUUUGCCCAUCUGGACUGUCCCCGGCAUCUUGCUGUUAGGAGACAGCACUUCAGAGAGCACCCCUCUGCGCAGAGCUUAACUUCGGGGAAACAAAACCAAACAAACGAACACAGAAAAAGAGAAAGAAGAGGAAGAAGAAAGAAAGAGAAAGGAAGAGCAUCUGUCCGUCCCUGUGGAGUCAGGAGAGCUGGGGUCCUCGCCCCCAUGUCGUAAAUGGAGGAGCAAACCAUCCCCCGGUGCCCCCCUGGCAGCGAGGCGCUGAGACAAGACCCCCCGCGGUGGGGGCGCAGCUGCGAUGGGGGGGCGGGCGGCCACGGGGGCGGGGCCGAGCCCAGGGCACAGCCCCUCCCAACCUCAGCAAGGCCUCAGGACCCCUGCGAUGCUCAGGAGGGGCCAGAUGCAGGCGCGGGUCACUGGGGCUCCUGUCCUAAUCGUCCAGGAGGGGCUGCGGUCCCAUUGCCCUUCCCCUCGGAGCCCAGGGCUCGCCCCGCACGCAUCUCCAGGCUCCUGGAGCCGAUAGUUUUGCAUUAAUGGGCGACCUGGCUGCAGGAACCUGGUGUCCGGUGCCCUCCUUGCGCCCUCGGAGCAGGGCCCCCGCGGCCUGUCCCACGGCGUGUCCAGAAAGCAAGGGGCCAGCGGCACCCUGGGCUCUGACCCAAGUGUCCCCUCACCCUCACUUCCUGGGGCAGCAGGUCAGCAAGGACAGGGACAUGCAGGUCUCGGCCGGGCGCGGAGCCGGACCCUGCGCCGCCAGGCCCCACGCGGCCUCUAUCCUGUGCCACCCCUCUGAACCCCGCUUGUCCCCGGGGGAGAAGGGGCCGCUCCCUCUCCCGGAGCUGCUGCGGGUUUUCCGAGCUUGAUGUGAGGUAAAAAUCUGUGGACAGAAGUUCUGACCUCAGGAGCUGGUGUUCUAGAACCAAACAAGUCAAUGAGUGUGAUAUUAAGCUAGUGCAGCGGUGGAUGGUCCGUGGGAAAAAGAAAGAAGGGGGGUCAGGAGCUGUGGUGAUUCUGGGAUGAAAGCAUCAUGAAAGCGCCUGGAGGUCACGCAGACAAAGCAGCAGGCAAGGCCCUCAGAGAAGGGCCACCUGGAGCAGAGCGGGAAGAGAAGGCGCCUUUAUCAGGUGGAAUGCAGGGGCGGGACAAAAGGAAAAGAAAACCCCGCCCCGGCCGGCUCCUAAGACUGGGAAUGAUGAGGUCCUGUGUCCAGGGCUCUGCAGAGCCCUUAUCAGUGUCCCUGUGACACUGACCGGGGAUGAGGACGGUGCUGAGAUGGAGGAAAGACAAAAAAAGCAUUUCUCCACGGCCUGUUGGAAUUUCACAGUCGAGAAGACAGUAGACGGCCCAGGGUCCAGAGGCCCGGUGAGGGCUGGGAAGCGGACCUCCGUGCUCCCGGGAGGGCAGGCCAGGUCCUGUGCCCACACGUGGGCCGAGGCUCCAGCGACCGGACAGAAACAGAGGCUGUCCAGGCAGCUCCGCUCUGCAGUGAAAUCAGCGUCCUCAGUUCCGCUGCUUCCUGGAGGACAGAGGGAAAUGCUGCGGCCCAGCUUCCUGCGCAC